rnacentral:rRNA from 1 species
ACGGAAGGCAGCAGUGGGGAAUAUUGCGCAAUGGGGGGAACCCUGACGCAGCAACGCCGCGUGAAGGAAGAAGGCUUUCGGGUCGUAAACUUUUGUCUUAUGGGACGAAUAAUGACGGUACCAUAGGAGGAAGCCACGGCUAACUACGUGCCAGCAGCCGCGGUAAUACGUAGGUGGCAAGCGUUGUCCGGAAUUACUGGGUGUAAAGGGCGCGUAGACGGGCAAGCAAGUCAGAUGUGAAAUACCGGGGCUUAACUCCGGGGCUGCAUUUGAAACUGUUAGUCUUGAGUGCAGGAGAGGGAAGCGGAAUUCCUAGUGUAGCGGUAAAAUGCGUAGAUAUUAGGAGGAACACCAGUGGCGAAGGCGGCUUUCUGGACUGUAACUGACGUUGAGGCGCGAAAGCGUGGGUAGCAAACAGGAUUAGAUACCCUGGUA